rnacentral:rRNA from 1 species
GACGAACGCUGGCGGCGUGCCUAAUACAUGCAAGUAGAACGCUGAAGGAGGAGCUUGCUCUUCUGGAUGAGUUGCGAACGGGUGAGUAACGCGUAGGUAACCUGCCUGGUAGCGGGGGAUAACUAUUGGAAACGAUAGCUAAUACCGCAUAACAGUAGAUGCUGCAUGACAUUUACUUAAAAGGUGCAAUUGCAUCACUACCAGAUGGACCUGCGUUGUAUUAGCUAGUUGGUGGGGUAACGGCUCACCAAGGCGACGAUACAUAGCCGACCUGAGAGGGUGAUCGGCCACACUGGGACUGAGACACGGCCCAGACUCCUACGGGAGGCAGCAGUAGGGAAUCUUCGGCAAUGGACGGAAGUCUGACCGAGCAACGCCGCGUGAGUGAAGAAGGUUUUCGGAUCGUAAAGCUCUGUUGUAAGAGAAGAACGAGUGUGAGAGUGGAAAGUUCACACUGUGACGGUAUCUUACCAGAAAGGGACGGCUAACUACGUG